AUGGAUGAAGAAACUACUAGAGCUAUUCUUGCUUGCAAUGAUAGAUCUGAUCUUAAGAAGUUACUAGCUAAAUGGAAACAGAAACCUCUAAAUGCUAGAAUGAAAUAUGACCCUGGUUUUGCUACCUCACCUAUCUUUGUUACUGAUAAGGAUUAUGAAUUCUCUGUCGAUCCUGAGAUAAUUACUUUGGUAGAAUCUGAUCCUUUUUAUGGCUAUGAAUCUGAAACUGUUGUGGCGCAUCUUACUAAGUUAAAUGAUAUAGCCACCCUGUUCACUAAUGAUGAGAAAUCUCGCUACUACUAUAUCCUUAAGAUAUUUCCGUUCUCGUUAAAGGGUGAUGCUAUAACUUGGUUUAAUUCUCUUGAUCCUGGUUGUGUGCGUAGUCCCCAGGAUAUGAUUUAUUACUUCUCUGCUAAAUAUUUCCCUGCUCAUAAGAAACAAGCUGCCUAG
rnacentral:rRNA from 1 species